rnacentral:rRNA from 1 species
CCUACGGGAGGCAGCAGUGAGGAAUAUUGGUCAAUGGGCGGGAGCCUGAACCAGCCAAGUCGCGUGAGGGAUGACGGCCCUAUGGAUUGUAAACUUCUUUUGUCGGGGAACAAAGUCGUCCACGUGUGGGCUUAUGUGUGUACCCUAAGAAAAAGGAUCGGCUAACUCCGUGCCAGCAGCCGCGGUAAUACGGAGGAUCCGAGCGUUAUCCGGAUUUAUUGGGUUUAAAGGGUGCGUAGGCGGACAGUAAAGUCAGCGGUAAAAAUUUGGGGCUCAACGCCGGACUGCCGUUGAAACUGGGAGUCUUGAGUGGGCGAGAAGUAUGCGGAAUGCGUGGUGUAGCGGUGAAAUGCAUAGAUAUCACGCAGAACUCCGAUUGCGAAGGCAGCAUACCGGAGCGCAACUGACGCUGAGGCACGAAAGCGUGGGUAUCGAACAGGAUUAGAUACCCGAGUAGUC